UACGUAGGUAGCAAGCGUUGUCCGGAUUUACUGGGCGUAAAGAGCGCGCAGGCGGUCGAUUUAGUCGCGUGUGAAAGCCCCCGGCUCAACUGGGGAGGGUCACGCGAUACUGAUCGACUCGAAGGCAGGAGAGGGUAGUGGAAUUCCCGGUGUAGUGGUGAAAUGCGUAGAUAUCGGGAGGAACACCAGUGGCGAAGGCGACUACCUGGCCUGUUCUUGACGCUGAGGCGCGAAAGCUAGGGGAGCAAACGGG
rnacentral:rRNA from 1 species